CAUUACCGAGUUUACAACUCCCAAACCCAUGGGAACAUACCUAUUGUUGCUUCGGCGGGAUUGCCCCGGGCGCCUCGCGUGCCCCGGAUCAGGCGCCCGCCUAGGAACUUUAACUCUUGUUUUAUUUUGAAUCUUCUGAGUAGUUUUUACAAAUAAAUAAAAACUUUCAACAACGGAUCUCUUGGUUCUGGCAUCGAUGAAGAACGCAGCGAAAUGCGAUAAGUAAUGUGAAUUGCAGAAUUCAGUGAAUCAUCGAAUCUUUGAACGCACAUUGCGCCCGCCAGUAUUCUGGCGGGCAUGCCUGUCUGAGCGUCAUUUCAACCCUCAUGCCCCUAGGGCGUGGUGUUGGGGAUCGGCCAAAGCCCGCGAGGGACGGCCGGCCCCUAAAUCUAGUGGCGGACCCGUCGUGGCCUCCUCUGCGAAGUAGUGAUAUUCCGCAUCGGAGAGCGAUGAGCCCCUGCCGUUAAACCCCCAACUUUCCAAGGUUGACCUCAGAUCAGGUAGGAAUACCCGC
rnacentral:rRNA from 1 species